CAGCUGUACAGAGAAGCAUGCGCUGAAUGGACAAGGCGGAAGUGGUCAGACUAAAGACGUCACGUUGCCUUUGUUGUUCUUAUGGCGCAUUACUGUGAUGCUUCCCCCUAGCGGUUCGGCCUUAAAUGUUGGAAAGGUACAGCUACGCAUCAAACAUUAUAUAGAUGAAGUCAUACACAUCAGAGAUGGCAUGAGGGCUCAAGGGAGGUGAGCUGAUUGGAUGGCUGUGUCUGGUAAGAAAGGCCCAUCCAGGCAGAUGAGGUCUGGUCUACUGAUCACUGAGCUACUGGCCUCUAUGGAACUACCCAGAGUGCUGCCCUGCCACCAGAAUGUGGGUUUGGG